rnacentral:rRNA from 1 species
GACGAACGCUGGCGGCGUGCCUAAUACAUGCAAGUUGAGCGAUGAAGCUUGGUGCUUGCACCAAUUUGAAGAGCAGCGAACGGGUGAGUAACGCGUGGGGAAUCUGCCUUUGAGCGGGGGACAACAUUUGGAAACGAAUGCUAAUACCGCAUAACAACUUUAAACAUAAGUUUUAAGUUUGAAAGAUGCAAUUGCAUCACUCAAAGAUGAUCCCGCGUUGUAUUAGCUAGUUGGUGAGGUAAAGGCUCACCAAGGCGAUGAUACAUAGCCGACCUGAGAGGGUGAUCUGCCACAUUGGGACUGAGACACGGCCCAAACUCCUACGGGAGGCAGCAGUAGGGAAUCUUCGGCAAUGGACGAAAGUCUGACCGAGCAACGCCGCGUGAGUGAAGAAGGUUUUCGGAUCGUAAAACUCUGUUGGUAGAGAAGAACGUUGGUGAGAGUGGAAAGCUCAUCAAGUGACGGUAACUACCCAGAAAGGGACGGCUAACUACGUG